UGCUCAUUCGCUUUUGUACUUGCUGUUCCCUCCGCCUGACUAUCACACAGCUCACUUCUUCAAUUGAAAUGUCAUCUCCUCAGAGGGGCCUUCUAUGACCAAUCACUCAAUCCAAAGCAAUCCCACUCACACACUCACAC